rnacentral:rRNA from 1 species
AAACCGUUCAGGGGUAAACCUGAGAAACCCAAAAGAUCGAAUGGGGAGAUUCAUCGUCAAUAUGUAUAAUAUAUCUAUGCGUUAUGAUAUAAAUUUUUUAUUCCUAUUAGGUUUAUUAUAAAUUAUACAUACGUAUGGUAUUUUAUUGUUAUUCAUUGUCGGCGUGCACUUCUCCCCUAGUAGGACGUCGCGACCCGUUGGAUAUCGGUCUACGGCCUUAUUGGGUAGCCUUUAAUCGUUAAACAUUAAAGACCAAUUUGUGUUUCCUGACCGAGUGUCCGGCGGUAUUCGUAUGGUAUUGAGUCGCAAAUAUAUAUUGCGUUCACAUCCGUCGCAAGCGAGGCCAGUGUUAAAUCCCGGUAGUGCGGACCUAGUGCCGUCGCUGGGCCUGGCCAGCUGUUGGCUGUUACGGUGUUCUGGAACUGACUCGAAAAUUAAAUAAUACCGGUCCGCGA